rnacentral:rRNA from 1 species
UGGGGAAUAUUGCACAAUGGGCGCAAGCCUGAUGCAGCCAUGCCGCGUGUGUGAAGAAGGCCUUCGGGUUGUAAAGCACUUUCAGCGGGGAGGAAGGCGAUAAGGUUAAUAACCUUGUCGAUUGACGUUACCCGCAGAAGACGCACCGGCUAACUCCGUGCCAGCAGCCGCGGUAAUACGGAGGGUGCAAGCGUUAAUCGGAAUUACUGGGCGAAAAGCGCCCGCAGGCGGUUUGUUAAGUCAGAUGUGAAAUCCUCGGGCUCAGCCUGGGGGGUGGAUCUGAUAAUGGCAAGCUUGAGUCUCGUAGAGGGGGGUAGAAUUCCAGGUGGAGCGGUGAAAUGCGUAGAGGUCUGGGGGAAUACCGGUGGCGAAGGCGGCCCCCUGGACAAAGACUGACGCUCAGGUGCGAAAGCGUGGGGAGCAAACAGG